GUGUGUGUCGUGCACGGAGGUGCGUGAGGAAGUGGGGGGUGAGGGUGGGCCGGAAGCGUUGGUCCGUAGGAGCGGGUAGGCGGUCCGGGAAGUUCGCGCUGGAAGGCCGGGGCGCAACCCCGGGAGGCGGUGUGAGACUGUCGGGGUAGAGGUCGGAAGAGGCGAGUGGAAUUCCUGGUGUAGCGGUGAAAUGCGCAGAUAUCAGGAGGAACACCGAUGGCGAAGGCAGCUCGCUGGGACGGUACUGACGCUGAGGCGCGAAAGCGUGGGGAGCAAACAGGAUUAGAUACCCGAGUAGUC
rnacentral:rRNA from 1 species